CUUCCUGUUUCAAACUUCGGUUUUCAUAUUAUUUGUUUCGGGUACUUUAAAACGAUUAUGUUGAUAAAUUCAGCUACUCAGUGAUGACAAUAUCAUCUACAGAGAAUAGAGAUAGAUUACCAGAAGGGCAUAAAAUAUUCGGGUUACGAGUGAUACGCUGUGUCCAAGAACGUAAAUUCACAAACUUGAAAUUUUUUUAAUAAUUCAGUCGACGUUGCGUCGGCAAAUUUGGGCUGUGAAUGAUUUCCAAAGCGCAAGAAUCGUGGAACAAAUUGGUAGAAAAAAUAUAAACUCACUGUCUGGAUUAAAGAAAUUGACAAAAGCACGAACUUGUUAGAUCUAUAUAUAUGACCGUAUAUUGAGAUAAAACUUUGAAAAAAGUCAGCAAACAUAAAUAUUGUGUUAUUAUAAGAAAGCCCUUAGAUUUAGUUACCCAUGGCUAUUGGUUUUGUUUAUAUAUGCUUCAGUCUUGCAUUACUUGAGAAUCUUAAAAGCGCCAACCCUACUAUUUUCAACACUGUUUGGCUUUAUAAUAUUUUGAUAUGAGUGUCACUGAUGAGUCUUAUGUAGACGAAACGCGCGUCUGGUGUACUAAAUUAUAAUCCUGGUACCUUUGAUAACUAUUUGACUUCUCAUUUCAUUCAUAAUACUUCUGUUGCAUACCAUUGCAUUUGUAUAAUUUUAUGGGGACUAUAAACCAUCGCUUAGAAAGCAAAAUAAAUUUGGAGUUGGUAGUACAACUCAGAAUAGAGAAUUUC
rnacentral:lncRNA from 1 species